AGCCCGAUGGUGUAACGGUAGCACAGCAGAUUCUGGUUCUGUUUGUGAGGGUUCAAAUCCUUCUCGGGCUG
rnacentral:tRNA from 1 species